GAUGAACGCUGGCGGCGUGCUUAACACAUGCAAGUCGAACGAUGAAGCCCAGCUUGCUGGGUGGAUUAGUGGCGAACGGGUGAGUAACACGUGAGUAACCUGCCCUUGACUCUGGGAUAAGCCUGGGAAACUGGGUCUAAUACUGGAUAUGACUUCUCAUCGCAUGGUGGGGGGUGGAAAGAUUUAUUGGUCUUGGAUGGACUCGCGGCCUAUCAGCUUGUUGGUGAGGUAAUGGCUCACCAAGGCGACGACGGGUAGCCGGCCUGAGAGGGUGACCGGCCACACUGGGACUGAGACACGGCCCAGACUCCUACGGGAGGCAGCAGUGGGGAAUAUUGCACAAUGGGCGCGAGCCUGAUGCAGCGACGCCGCGUGAGGGAUGACGGCCUUCGGGUUGUAAACCUCUUUCAGUAGGGAAGAAGCGAGAGUGACGGUACCUGCAGAAGAAGCGCCGGCUAACUACGUA
rnacentral:rRNA from 1 species